UAAGUAAGUGAAAAACUAGACCACGGAUUAAAAACCAAAUAUAGCACGUACAAUCUACGUACAGAUCUAAUAAUUCGUCGCCGAUAUGGAAUGCAGUGAUUCAUAAUAUGCAUUAUCUAUCUAUCUAUCUUACGCCAUAUGACGGUCAUCACCGUGGUACGAAAUGUAUUUGCGAUAUUGUUUCAUGAGUGCAAGGGUCGGUAGUAAUUGCCCAGGUUAAUUGUUUAUUAUCGUAGUACGUAAUAAGCGUAAUAAAAUUCCAAUGAAUUCGGAUUUUUCCCGCCUCUUCAGUUUAUCUAUUCAGUUUUAUAAAUGAAGUGUUUCGAGUUCUUAGCAUUAACAUGCAUGAGUGUGGAAUAUCUUGGGAUCUUUAAGCAUUUCGAUGUGGUAAUUAUGAAAUACUGUUAUCAAAACAAAAUGUUAAUGGAGAGUCCUAUCUUGUGUGAUGCAAAUCCGUGUAGCCCACUGAAAGUCAACCGACGUUUCGGAGGAACAUGUUGCACCUUCAGUGCCGAAGAAUAAGCUAAGCAGGAAACCAGCUCGAAAGUGUGUGGCAAGCAGCGCUUGGCUUGUUAUUCGUCCCGGAAGGUAGAGGCGACGGGUUCCGCCAGAACGUCAGUUGGUCUUCAACACACUACACGGCAUGCCUAUUAUUAUGCGGGCCAGUCCUCACCAUUCAAAUCAAAUGAGACCAGUCCAGCGAGUCCAGCAGCCAUCAUGCUGUCAGAUCACAUGUGUCCUGCCAGUGAAUUUCUUCAAACCAUGCUGAGAUUUAGAUGAAGAUAGAGAGGUGCUGUGCAGAAUUUCAUUCAAGUUGUUGGUUUGAAUGGACUAGGAGCUGACUGAAAUGAGCUAGGAGCCACUGAAAAAGGUCUUGGAGGUGAGGAAGUCAAUUCAAGUUGUAAUAUGUAACUUGUAAAUCUCAUCUUACUGUAACGUAUAUAAUGAGAUUGAACUAGUUAAGUCACUACUGUAAAUUAAUUAAUAAGUUGUAACAAGACUGAAAGUGAAACUAGGAAAUAGUAACAAGGUUAACCUGUAAAGAAAGUGAUGCCACAUAUAUAGGUAACUUUCUCAAACCUAACGUAGUACCGUAUUUUAGUUAUGUUGUAUUCACUUUCGGUGAAAUCUAAUAAGACAAGCUGUUUCUCUCAAAUUGGAAACAGGAAAUCAAUAACCUUACAACCUUUUAAGGCUAAAGAACUUGACAGUCAAAAUAUAACACGUGCAGCUUAUGUACUGUUACUCCACAUGUCUGUACUUUGGUUCUAAUCUGGGGCGUAUAAAAAAACUUUCACUAUUAUGAGCAUCUGCCUCGUGUCAUCCCGUUUGCGUCAGAAUCUGUCAUGUGCCGAGACUUUUGGCCGAGCCAACGCCCAGAUUGUUCCUAUAAGUAUAGAUGAUUAUGAUUGGACGGGAUCAGACACACUGAUCAUGUCGCAGAAUGAAUCUCUGUUCGUUGACGGUUAGGAGUUGUUAUCUGGGUCGUGGACCCUCAUCUUUAUUUUCUGUACCAACUGUGUGUAUAAGGAAUCCAGUAAACUUUGUCAUUUUUCAGCAUUCAAGGAGACUUAGAUCUUUUUGCUAAACCAGGUCAACGCAUCCUCUAUUUUCGGCAAUGUAAGCUUCAUCAGGUGGCAUCACUUCUGCUGGUCCGAACUCAUCGCCUGGUGGUAGCAGUACUAGAUAUACAUUACAAAGUGACAUGGAGCUUCAAUUCAAUUCAGUUUAUUUUUUGUUCAUCAAAUCUACAUUUGGCAAUGGCGCCACCAGAUAUAGAACACGUCCAAGCCCUAGUUACAAUAAAAUAAAUCCAGAGGACAACGUCAUUAAGAUAUUACAACAUCCACAACCAUUGUUGCAAUAACUGAUGAUACAAUGCUAUAACUAAACACAGCAUGCAUAUAAUACUCGAACUGCAACUUAUUAUCAUAACAAAAUACAUAUCAACAUUGUCAAUAACAGAGCAAAAUCAUAUCCAAAGAGUUAUGGGCAUCUUACAAUAAAAAUUUAAAAAAUGA